rnacentral:tRNA from 1 species
CAAGUUAUAGCUUAAUAAGCAUUUUAUUUACAUUAAAAAGAUUACUUUUGUUAGUAUAAUUUGA